AGGAGCUUGCUCCUCUGACGUUAGCGGCGGACGGGUGAGUAACACGUGGAUAACCUACCUAUAAGACUGGGAUAACUUCGGGAAACCGGAGCUAAUACCGGAUAAUAUAUUGAACCGCAUGGUUCAAUAGUGAAAGACGGUUUUGCUGUCACUUAUAGAUGGAUCCGCGCCGCAUUAGCUAGUUGGUAAGGUAACGGCUUACCAAGGCAACGAUGCGUAGCCGACCUGAGAGGGUGAUCGGCCACACUGGAACUGAGACACGGUCCAGACUCCUACGGGAGGCAGCAGUAGGGAAUCUUCCGCAAUGGGCGAAAGCCUGACGGAGCAACGCCGCGUGAGUGAUGAAGGUCUUCGGAUCGUAAAACUCUGUUAUUAGGGAAGAACAAAUGUGUAAGUAACUAUGCACGUCUUGACGGUACCUAAUCAGAAAGCCACGGCUAACUACGUGCCAGCAGCCGCGGUAAUACGUAGGUGGCAAGCGUUAUCCGGAAUUAUUGGGCGUAAAGCGCGCGUAGGCGGUUUUUUAAGUCUGAUGUGAAAGCCCACGGCUCAACCGUGGAGGGUCAUUGGAAACUGGAAAACUUGAGUGCAGAAGAGGAAAGUGGAAUUCCAUGUGUAGCGGUGAAAUGCGCAGAGAUAUGGAGGAACACCAGUGGCGAAGGCGACUUUCUGGUCUGUAACUGACGCUGAUGUGCGAAAGCGUGGGGAUCAAACAGGAUUAGAUACCCUGGUAGUCCACGCCGUAAACGAUGAGUGCUAAAUGUUAGGGGGGUGUCCGCCCCCUUAUUGCUGCAGCCUAACGCAUUAAAC
rnacentral:rRNA from 1 species